GAAUGAGGAGCCUCCGCGCUUUCGGCGCCAUUUUCGAGUGAUGCCUGAUCUCAUCAAUCUAGCGGGAGAGACAGGAUAACCUGUCCGAGAGUAUAGCGCCACUAUGACUCCGCCGGAAAAAUUACUUUAAAAAUCGCCAAAAAUUACUUGGAGCAAAGGGCAGUCGGCGGAGCUUCGCCAAAGCUGGCGCAGUCGGUUUUGACCUGUAGCAGAGAACCAAUUCUGGAGAACAGCCUCACUUCUUUGAUUGAAUACUCACAUAAUGCAUUGGAACAUGACAUGAGAUUAAGGUUUAAUAAUGAUAGAAUGAAGACCAUAAUAAAAGAGACCUCUACUUAGCAAUUCUUACCUUUUACUUUGGCUGGGUGCAGUGACUCACGCCUGUAAUCCCAGCACUUUGGGAGGCUGAGGUGAGCAGAUCAUGAGGUCAGGAGUUCGAGACCAGCCUGUCCAACAUGGUAAAACCCUGUCUCUACUAAAAAUAUAAAAAUUAGCUGGGCAUGGUGGCCGGCACCUGUAGUCCCAGCUGCUUGGGAGGCUGAGGCAGGAGAAUUGCUUGAAACCAGAAGGCAGAGGUUGCAGUGAACCGAGAUCACGCCACUGCACUCCCGCCUGGGCGAAGGAGUGAAACUCUGUCUCAAAAAUAAAUAAAUAAAUAACAAAAAUUAGCCAGGCAUGGUGGCGUGCACCUGUAAUCACAGCUACUCAGGAGGCUGAGGCAGGAGAAUUGCUUAAACCUGGAAGGUGGAGGUUGCAGUGAGCUGAGAUUGCACCAUUGCACUCCAGCCUGGGUGACAGAGCAAGACUCCAUCUCAAAAAAAAAAUAAAAAGAAAAAAACAAGUUACUUUAAAAUGUCUUAUAAAAUCUCAGUUUCUUAUAGUAAAACUAUUUGUAGCUAAUGAAAAUGAAGUUUUGAUACAUUUAACAGUAUUACCACUAAGAAUGCCAUCCUUUCAAGUACUCUACCACUGGUCAAAUUUCAGAACCUCAGUUUAAAAUGUUUGGGGAGGCCAGAUAUGGUGGCUUAUGCCUGUAAUCCCAGCACUUUGGGAGGCUGAGGCAGGUGGAUUACUUGAGGUCAGGAGCUCAAGACCAGCCUGGCCAACAUGGUGAAACCCAGUCUCUACUAAAAAUACAAAAAUUAGCCAGGCGUGGUGGUGGGUGCCUAUAAUCUCAGCUACUGGGGAGGCUGAGGCAGGAGAAUAGCAUGAACGCCGGUGGUAGAGGUUGCAGUGAGCCAAGAUCAAGCCACUGCACUCCAGCCUAGGCAGCAAGAGCGAGACUCCAUCUCAAAAAAUAUGUUUAGGGAAACAGCCGGGCAUGGUGGCUCACACUUGUAAUCCCAGCACUUUGGGAGGUCGAGACAGGUGGAUCACUUGAGGUCAGGAGUUCAAGACCAGUCUGGCCAACAUGGUGAAACCUCGUCUCUACUAAAAAUACAGAAAUUAGCCAGUCAUGGAGGCACGUGCCUGUAAAUCCCAGCUACUUGGGAGGCUGAGGUGAGAGAAUAGCUUGAACCUGAAAGGUGGAGGCUGCAGUGAGCUGAGAUCCCACCACUGCACUCCAGCCUGGGCAACAGCACGAGACUCCAUCUCAAAAAAAUAAAUAAAAUGUUUAGGGAAACAAUGUCUGAAUUAAAAUUCAGAACACCUCAAUUUUAAAUUAUUAUUUUUAGUUUUUGUAUCCUUAGUUCAGCUGUUUGUUUCUUUAUGCCUCUAGUAUUUGGUGCUCUGUAGUCAGAACUUAAAACUGGCAAUCUGUCCUCGAAAUCCUUAACAAGACAAAAUAGUAAAGUACACUAAAUUUUUCUAAGUCAAUUUUGUUUUAAAUUGAACUUUAUUAAUUUUAUUUUGACCCUAGAAUAUUAGAAUUAGAACCAUAGUAAACAAAUGUUUUCCUUUACGUUAUAAAUUACAUUUAUGUUAAUUAAAAUAAGUUUCUCAUCAGAGGGCAGGUUUCAACUUAGUACAGUAAGUCCUCACUUAAAGUAAUGAAUAGAUUCUUGGAAACUGCAGCUUUAAGAUAAAUAACAUAGAAUAAAACCAGUUUCACCAUAGGCUAAUUGAUAUAAACAAGAGUUAAGUUCCUACAGCCUAUUACUGGUCACAAAGAACAUCACCUUCUAAAUAAAGAUACAACACAUUUCUGGUAUUAAAUAUUGUGAAAUAAAUGUGAGUUGUACAUACAUUUAAGAAAGUUUAAUAGAAACAAGAUCAUCAUUUACCCAAUUUUUGAUGAGUCAGUGAGCGAUGAUGGUCAUAGUGGUGGUGAGUUAAAAUAAGGAAAUGUUUGUAAAGUGGAAAUUGUAAGGAGCACCUUCUACCACCAUGUUGUUCAAAAACAAGCAAUAACAAAUAUGGCAUGCUUGCUGAGCAGUUUCAUACUACAUCAUUUGUUGUUGUGCAUUUGUAUGAUGAUUGUAUAUUUGACAAGUUUUUAUUUUGCAAUAAUUUACAUUCAUUCAUUUUCCAACCCACUUACUCCACUUUGGGGUUGCAGGUGGCUGGAGCCUAUCCUAGAAGCUCAGGAUGCAAGGUGGGAACCAACCUGGAUAGGAUGCCAUUCCAUCACAGGGUGUCCUCCUACCCCCAUACUCAGCCAUACUGAGACAAUUUAGAUGUGCCAACUAACAUAACAUGCACAUCUUUGGGAUGUGGGAGAAAACCCAUGCAGACAUGGGGAGAACGUGGAAACUCCACACACUGUGGCCCCAGACAGAAAUCUCUGCAUUUUUCCUCUUCAGUGUUAAAAAUGAAAUGAUGUUGAAUGAAACAUCAUUUGAAGAUCUUCUGUUUAUAACUUUGUUCUCUGGCCCUAGAUCUACUGUCUAAAAAUUGUUUUUAUGUCUUUUCUCUAAGCUGUACAUUCUCAGGUCUUUCCACUGUUGUCAUAGCAUUAAUUUCUAGACCAUAUUUUUUCUAGACCAUAUUAAUUUCUAGACCAAUAUUUUCUGGAUACCCUACUUUGGAUCUGUUACAUUUUGUUAGUAUUCCUUUUAAAAUAAUUGUAUUUAGAAUUAAUUGCAAUAUACUUAAUGUGGUAUAGGUACAAAACGCACUGCAUCUAUGAAUAAAGUUCUAUAGUGCAGUCUGAUUGCACUAGCUUUUUUUUUUCAUCAAUACUAUCGGGUCAUGUUGAGCUGCAGUUCACUGAAACACUUAAGUGUGUUAGAAUUUCAAAUCCUGUAAAUUUAGAUUCGGUAGGCAUUUGUUGAACACCUGUUCACUACUAGAUGUGCUUGUAUAAAUUUCUACUGUUUAUUUUACCGAUAGUAAGUUUAAAAUGUAGAAAUUGACCAGUAGAUUUAUUGCACUGAGGAUGAUUCUAUAGUUUAGGAGACAUGACUAGAAUUUCAAUGAGAACAGAUUGUAAGGACAGAAAUAAAUUUAAAAAAAGAAUUUCUAAAUGGUUUUGUUAAAUGCAAUAACAACUUUAUGUAUACUACAGAUGAACUGAUAAUAGAGCACAUGUAAGAAAAUGUCUAAAAAAUGUUAUUGGAAAUAAAAUUAGAGCUGUAAAUCAUUAACAAGGAAAAAACUAACUUAUAUACAAUUUAUUGUUUCCAUAUUUCUUAAAAUAUAUUAAAUUCUAACUUAGAAAACCAACUUAAGAGAUUUAAAGAUUCCCAUCUACUCAGAUUUAUUAUAUUCAGGUUGAAUUAUUACGCAAGACAUUGAAUUUACUUAUUUUGUCUCACCAUUCAAUAUAACUACUUUUUUUUGUUGGAAGAUUAUAAGAAUGGAGAGUUCUGGCAUAUCAGAGGCCCACAGCCCAGAAUAUAAACCACCAGACUUGGAACUAUGGUUGUUGUAUAAAGGAUAAGGACUGAAUGAUUCUGUCUUCGGAAUAUUUUUGUAUUUUUUUUUAGAAGGUCUUUUCUUUGGCUCUACAUCUAGCCAUUAGGGCUCUUUCUGUAUCUGGUUAGGGAAAGUGGCUUUUCUUUCAGCCAGCAAAUGUAAAAGCAGACAUUUAAGGGAUGGAGUCACGGUGAUAGUUCCAGUGGACUAAGAUAAAGCAUUGAAGAAAUGGCAUAGUCUAUACUAGUAAAGAUUUCCUCACAGCUAGUCCAUUUUGAAUGGAGAGAUAAGUAUGGAAUAGGGAACCAGUUAUCUGCCCAGCACAGUACCUAAUAAUGAGAAUAGUUUUUCUAUUCAAAAGUUCUUAGUGGUUGUUAAUGUUUUAAAAGAGACCAUUUAACUGGAAUGGAAGUGUUUUCUUUGGAGAAAAGCAGGAAACAUUGGAUAGAUCUUAAUUAUACAGACCUUGAUACUUAGGCAGAAAGUAGAGAUUCUACUUAGGAAACUAGAAAUUAACUUUUUUUUUUUUUUUUUGAAACAAGGUUUUGCUCUGUCACCUGGGCUGGAGUGCAGUGUAGUGGCAUGAUUAUGGCUCAGUGCUGCAUCAAACUCCUGGGCUCAAGUGAUUCCUCCCACUUCAGCUCCUGAGUAGCUGGUAUUACAGAUGCCCAGCUGAUUUUUAAAUUUUUUGUGUGUGGGGCGCUAAAUGAUGAGAGCACAUGGACACAUAGAGGGGAACAAUACACACUGUGGUCUUUUGGAGGGUGGAGGGUGGGAGGAUGGAGAGGAUCAAGAAAAAUAACUAAUGGGUACUAGGCUUAAUACCUGGGUGAUGAAAUAAUCUGUGCAACAAACUCCCAUGACAGGCCUGGCAUGGUGGCUCACGCCUGUAGUCCCAGCACUUUGGGAGGCUGAGGUGGGUGUAUCACUUGAGGUCAGGAGUUUAAGACCCGCCUGGCCAACAUGGCAAAACCCCAUCUCUACUAAAAAUACAAAAAAGUUAGCCCGACUUGAUGGCGCUGGCCUGUAAUCCCAGCUACUCAGGAGGCUGAGGCAGGAGAAUCACUUGAACCUGGGAGGUGGAGGUCACAGGGAGCCGAGAUUGAGCCACAGCACCCCAGCCUGGGCAACAGAGUGCAACUCUGUUUCAAAAAAAAAAAGCAAACAAAAAAAAACCUCCCAUGAUAAAAGUUUACCUACGUAACAAACCUGCAGUUGUACCACUGAACUUAAAAUAAAAGUUAAAAAAUAAUAAUAAUUUUUUUGUAGAGAUGGGGUGUUGCUAUGUUGCCCAGGCUGGUCUCUCAAAUUCCUGGGCUCAAUCCUCCGACCUCAGCCUCCAAAAGUGCUGGGAUUACAGGUAUGAGCCACCUCAUCCAGUCUAGAUACAUUCUUGAAUAUGUAACUUUGGGAAGAUUUAUUAAUUGAUUAAGGACUAGGAGGUCCAGCUAAAAUGCAAUUGGAUUUAUAAGGUACUUAAAUCUAGAUUUAAGGUAUGAAAUCAAGAAUGGCGAAGAAAUCAAUGAACUGAGGUCUUAAAGAAUCAAUUCGUUUUAUUGACUAGCUGAAUACAAGGGAUGAUUGACACAAGAUGAAAAUUGAGUGUUAAGAAAGCAUAACAAUGGGCAAGUAUGAAUGAUUAGGACAUAAAAGGGAGCAAAAGAAGAAUGUAAGAAAAAAAUGUAAAUAGCAUAUUUAUCAAACCUUUUAUAUUGCAUUUCUUGACUAACAUGAUAUAUUUGUAAUUUAGUUACACUUAGUAUUUAGGAAGUAAAGUCAUCAAAUAAAAUAUGAAUGUUUGAUUUCUAAGAAGUUUAACUUUUUGUAUAAGGAAAUGAUUAUAAGAGAAUCUAAUAUUAAAAUAACAUUUGGGGGGCUUGUGUAUAUAGUCUGACUUUCUGGAAUAAAUUUUCCAGAUUGAAAUCUACUUCAUACACAGUUUUUAAGCAAUCUUUAAGUCAUUUUUUCAUCAGAAGAAAUCAAGGCAGUUUAGAAACAGUAAAACUUUAUAUUUGCCUAAACUCAACAGCUAGGUUUUUUAUAUUAUAAAACAGUCAUGUUGGAUUAAAUCUGAUUAUUAUUUUAUUGAAUGCGUAUUCCUAACACUGAAUUUUAAAGGUAUCUUCUCUAGUUAAUAGAGCCUUUUUGUUUUUAAGUAUUUAUAUUCCAGAAACAAGAAUCAAGCAAAAGCACAUUUUAAUCUUUCCUGUAAAUGUUAUAUAUUUGGACACUUUAUAAGACUUCAUAGUAGGGUAAUAAAAAAAAAUUACCAUGUUUCACCAGUCAUGGUGGCUCAUACCUGUAAUCCCAGCACUUUGCAACACAAAGGCGGAAGGAUCAUUUGAGGCCAUGAGUUUGAGACCAACCUGGCCAACAUGAUGAAACCACGUCUGUAAAAAAAAAAAAAAUACAAACCUUAGCUGGACGUGGUGGCACAGACCUGUAGUCCCAGCUACUUGGGAGGCUGAGGUGGAAGGAUAGCUUCAGCCUGAGAGGAGGAGGUUGCAGUGAGCUGAGAUCAUGCUAUUGUACUCCAGCCUAGGUGACAAAAGAAGACUCUGUCUCAAAAAAAAAAAAAAAAAAAAUUACCAUGUUUAGUGAAAUUGUCGUGCAUUUAUUUUAGACCCCAUAACUCAGGCCUUUACAUAAAGAUAUUAAAGAAUAGCUAUUUAUAAAUUUUCCAUCUGGUAUAAUACUGACAUACUGUGUAUUAUUCCACUGUCAUUAAGCAAGGAUAGUCAUUCUGUGGCCCAGGCACUGUAUAUACAUACACAGUUCCUUAGAGCUUCAAGUGCAGAAUAGAUUUAAGGUAUAUUUGGAGGAUGUAUUACAGAUUGUGUUGAUGCUGGAUUGAAAGUAAAAUUAAAUGUUCAGAAAACCUAAAGUAAUGUAGUGCCAUAUAAGGACAUGUCUAAACAACAAGCUAGCAAAACCAUAUUGAUGGCAUGUAUUAGUAUCUGAAUAUCCCUAUCAUGUGAGUAGAAAUAGUCUAAACUUAUAGACUCAAGGAAAUUUUAAAUUUAAAAUAGUCCCUUUUUUUAAGGCAUAGUAUAAAACCUACUUUGGCAGCCCCUAAUGCGAAGAUAAGUGGAAAGGAAAAAUCAAACCAUACCACACUGGGAAGAGAUUAUUAUUGUUAUUGAACACAAGAAAAAAAAGAGAUAUAUCUUCUCUAUGUGCCUGGAAUUGUUCCACUGAAUCUUUCAAUUUGUUAAUACAUUUAAAUCAAGAAUUUUCAUAUUUUUUUCUGGAGAAUUAUAAUAAAUAUUUUAAUAGUUUAAAUGUUUCAGGCUUUCAAAUAUAAAUCAGAUAGUUAGAAAUAAAAGGAAAAUAGACAAGGAAAAAGUCUUCCUCCAUGGUGGUUUACUAAAACAUCAGUGAUAAAAUUGCAAUGUUAUUACAGAUAGUAACAGUCUUUAAGAGAUAAAAUUAUGUGGAGAUAAAUUGUAGCACGUUUGCUGAUAAGAAUCAUGCAACAGAGAGGAAGAUUAAAGAUGUAGGAGAAUAUCUAAAGGAAUAUCCUUAAGUAAGUAAGUGAGGAUCAAAGAGAAGGAAUUUGUCUUAUGAACAGUGAGGGUUCGUUGAUACUAGAAAGAAGUAAGAGUUGUAUGCACACAGAUACAUGUUAGAUUUGGUGGGAACUGAGGAAAUUUCUGAUAGUUUCUGUUUUCUCAAUGAAAGUAAAAAUGAAAGGGAAAGUGUUCUAAGUUUGAAAGAAGAGAGGGGACACAGCUGUCUGAUGUGUUUCUAGGCGAAUUAGAGAUUGAAUGGACCGAGAUUGCCAGAAAGCCCUUAAACCAAUUUUAGAUAUAAAAGAUAAUAGUAAAGAAAAAUUAUCUCUUCACAGAUGACACAAUCAUUGUAUCUAGAAAACCCUUAAGAUUCCACCAAAAACGGUUAGAACUAAUGAAUUUAGCAAAGUUGUAUGAUACAAAAUCACACAAAAAUCAAUUGUGUGUCUGUUCACUAACAAUGUACAAUUCAAAAAGGAAAUUUAAACAAUUCCAUUUAUAAAACAAAAAGAAUAAAAUAUUUGGGGAUAAACGUAACCAAGGAGGUAAAAGACUUGUGUACAGCAACUACAAAAAAAAUUGCUGAAAGAAAUUAAAGACAAUAAAUAAAUGGAAAGGCAUCCCACAUUUAUGGAUUGGAAGACUUAAUAUUGUUAAAAUGACAGUACUACCCAAAAUGAUCUACAGGUUGAAUGCAAUUCCUAUCAAAAUCCUAAAUUUCGUUUAACAGAAAUGGGAAAAUUUAUUCUCACAUUCAUGUGGAAUCUCAAAGGACAUGAAAUAACCAAAACAAAUUUUAAAAAGAGAGUCAGAGGUCUCACUACCUGAUUUCAAAACCUCCUACAAAGCAUAAAGCUAGACAUAUAGAUUCAUGAAAAUAGACCCGAGGGCCCACAAAUAAACCCUUGCAUAUAUUUUCAAGUGAUUUUCACCAAAGGUGCCAAGAAGUACCAAAGAUCCUCAUUCAGUAAAGAAAGGACUCUUCAACAAAUGGUAUUGGGAAAAUUGGAUAUCCAUACCAGAAAAGAACAAAGUUGUUCCCUUAUCAUACACCAUAUACAAAAAGUAACUAAAAAUUAAUUUCUAAAUCAAAGACCUAAGCAUAAGAGUUAAAAAAUACGAAACUCUUAGAAGAAAACAAAGGGCAAAAGCUUCAAGACAUUGGAUUUGGCAGUGAUUUCUCAGAUAUGACACCAAAAGCACAGACAAAACAAGUAGAUCAAUUGGACUUCAUCAAAAUUUAAAACUUCUGGCCAGGCGCCGUGGCUCACACCUGUAAUCCCAGCACUUUGGGAGGCCGAGGCAUGUGAAUCACAAAGUUAGGAGUUUGAGACCAGCCUGGCCAACGUGGUGAAACAACAUAAAAAUUGGCAGGGUGUGGUGGCGGGAACCUGUAGUCCUAGCUACUCGGGAGGCUGAGGCAGGAGAAUCGCUUGAACCUGGGAGGCGGGAGAUUGCAGUGAGCCAAGAUCGCACCGCUGCACUCCACCCUGGACAACAGAAUGGGACUCCAUCUCAAAAAAAAAAAAAAAAAAUGUAAACUUCUGUGCAUCAAAGGACACUAUUACUGUGAAAAGUCAGUCUACAGAAUCGGAGAAAAUAUUUGCAAAUCAUGUAUCUAAUAAGAGAUUAAUAUCCAGAAUGUAUAAACUCAAUAAAAAGUAAACAACCCAGUCAAAAAAUGGGCAAAGGACUUACAUAGACAUUUCUCCAAAGAAGAUGUACAAUUGGCCAGCAAACACAAGAUGCUCAACAUCACUAUUCAUUAGGGAAAUGGAAGUGAAAACCACAAUGAGAUACCACUUCAUUUUCAUUAGAAUGGCUAUUAGCAAAAACAAAACCAGAAAAUAACAUGUUGGCAAGGAUGGGAGAAGUUGUAAAUUGCUGGUGAGAAUGUAAAAUGGUGUAGCCACUGUAGAACACAGUAUGGCAGUUUCUCAAAAAAAAUUAAAAA